UACGUAGGGUGCAAGCGUUUGUCCGGAAUUAUUGGGCGUAAAGAGCUCGUAGGUGGUUUGUCGCGUUGUUCGUGAAAUCUCACGGCUUAACUGUGAGCGUGCGGGCGAUACGGGCAGACUAGAGUACUGCAGGGGAGACUGGAAUUCCUGGUGUAGCGGUGGAAUGCGCAGAUAUCAGGAGGAACACCGGUGGCGAAGGCGGGUCUCUGGGCAGUAACUGACGCUGAGGAGCGAAAGCGUGGGGAGCGAACAGG
rnacentral:rRNA from 1 species